AGCGAACGCUGGCGGCAGGCCUAACACAUGCAAGUCGAACGAUCCUUCGGGAUAGUGGCGGACGGGUGAGUAACACGUGGGAACGUGCCCUUUGGUUCGGAAUAACUCAGGGAAACUUGAGCUAAUACCGGAUGUGCCCUUCGGGGGAAAGAUUUAUCGCCAUUGGAGCGGCCCGCGUUGGAUUAGCUAGUUGGUGGGGUAAAGGCCCACCAAGGCUACGAUCCAUAGCUGGUCUGAGAGGAUGAUCAGCCACACUGGGACUGAGACACGGCCCAGACUCCUACGGGAGGCAGCAGUGGGGAACCUUGCGCAAUGGGCGAAAGCCUGACGCAGCCAUGCCGCGUGAAUGAUGAAGGUCUUAGGAUUGUAAAAUUCUUUCACCGGGGACGAUAAUGACGGUACCCGGAGAAGAAGCCCCGGCUAACUUCGUGCCAGCAGCCGCCGUAA
rnacentral:rRNA from 1 species